CGAACAUCUCGCCCAUGCUAGCAGUGGUGGUGGAAGGCAAGCAGUCUCUGUGCAUGAUCUCCUCUGCGGAGUAGCAGUGGGGCAGAUUGUUCCUGGGGUGCCAUUUACUGGAGGGAUCAAUGGCAUAUUCCCUGAAGCUGCCCCUUUGAAGCGGAUCCGUGAAGGAGGAAAAUUGGGAGACGUCGGCUGACGUGGAGAGCUCGCCCCAGCCCGGCAGGGAGGUGCGGUCACGUGACGCCACGCCAAAUUGACAAGCGGCGGCUCCGGGCCCUCGCCCCUUCGGAGCCGGCUCGGGGGAUGCAACAGAUCGGCACGGCGCCGGGCCCCCCCCCCCCCCCCCCGGGGUAACGCAGCCCCCCUCCGGGGCACUGCCCCCCGCUCCGGGGGAUGCCCCCCCGAAGGGUACUGCACCCCCCCCGGCCGCCCGGUUCCCCGGCGGAGCGGCUUAGCCAUCCCCGCAGGGCUAGGUGAGAGCUCUCUGUUUGUUUGUUUGCUCGCCGGGCUGGAAAAAAAAAAAAGAAAAGAAAAAGCAAUGAGCGAGCAGGAGGAAUCCAGCGCCGAGCCCUUCGAGGAGGCUGCUGGCUAGCAGGAAGCUCCUGAAGGAGCGGCCGUGGCUUUUUUUUUUUUUUUUUCUUUUUUUAGCUCGCCUUGGUUCGCUCUGCCUGCCCACCGACCCAAGGGAAAAAGAGAAAAAAAAAAAAAAAAAAGACGCAAAAAAAAAGCCCUCGCCCUGCAGGGUUUUGCUGGAAACGUUACUAGGAAGAAUGUGCCAGGGUCAAGUCUGUACUGAUUUUCAUGGUGAAUAGAUUACAUGCUUGCAUUCAUGUUCACUUCCGAAGCGCUUAGUGUCUUCCUUCCCUUACUUACAUAUUAACCUCAAAUACCCCGCGCGGCUUCAUCCCAGCUUUACUAGAGGUAGCUCCAGAGAUUUCACUCCCCGAUCGCAGGUUCCCUUCCCUCGCCCCCCCAAACCGUCGCUCGCCUAUGUGCGACGCCAGAAAGCCCUUUAAACUGCAGACCGCUGAGCUCAAAAGUGUUUGCUGAUCUCUUCGCCUCCGCGCUGCUGCUAAAUACUUGGGAAACCAGGGGAUGUUGGGCUGCCCCGCUUUGACAAAUAUUCGGGGUUUAAUUGCCAGAAGCCUAGUUAAAAUGAUUUGACAUACUAUUAACCCCUAGGAACAAACUCGCCGUACCGUGAUGCUUGCCUUUUCGCCUCGUACCGUCGCUGAAGGCUGAGACCCAGGGAGACCUAUUUUAAAAACGUGGUUAAACUUUUACUAUUGUUGCAUGAAAGGGAUGAUAUAGAAAGCGGAUUGUACAGGGCAGAGACUAAAAAGCACUUCUCUGCCAAUAAAAAUGCACACCCCACCGAAUGAGCAGAGCCAAAGAAAACAGAGAAAUACGCCAAAGAAUACAGCACCUUUUCAGGCAUGGACAUCCCUCGGCUGUUGGAAAAAAAUAUUUUUUGCUAGUCUGAUGCUCGAUUUCAGAAAAGAAAUAUUUGGGUUCCGGCUGGAUUUAAUCAAAAUAGAAAAACAGAACGGCAAAAGGCUAUUGUGAAGUCGGUGCUCUUAUGAAAUUAGACGUGAUUCGAGAUCUGUCCCCCCCCUGGGCUUGGGAGGCUAAUGGAAGGGAAACUAAAAUGCUAGGGAAAUAAUAUUUGGAUUUCCCCCCCCCCCUCCCCUUCCUCUGCAGUGCUGUGGAAGUAUUUAUAUAUCCGGAGAAAGUUCUAUAGUAAAUUCUGGAGAUCUUCGGUAUUUAAAUGUCAACAUCGAUUUGUUUAUUUAUUGCUUAGCUUAUCGUAACUGACUCAAUAACAAAUCUAAUCAUGUUGUGCACAGAAAAAAUAUUCUCAUUAUGUAUUUUCCCUACAUUAUAGUUAACUAUUACAUUUGAAUUCAAGCUGUAAAUUCAAUAUUAUCAAGUAAUUACUUUGUAGUGGAGUAAACUAAUUUAUUAGCA